GAUGAACGCUAGCUACAGGCUUAACACAUGCAAGUCGAGGGGUAACGAGAGGAAAGCUUGCUUUCCUUGUCGACGACCGGCGCACGGGUGAGUAACGCGUAUCCAACCUGCCCCCAACUAAGGAAUAACCUUGCGAAAGUAAGACUAAUACCUUAUGAUUUCCUCAGAUGUCAUCUGACGAGGAAUAAAGAUUUAUCGGUUGUGGAUGGGGAUGCGUCUGAUUAGCUUGUUGGCGGGGUAACGGCCCACCAAGGAAACGAUCAGUAGGGGUUCUGAGAGGAAGGUUCCCCACAUUGGAACUGAGACACGGUCCAAACUCCUACGGGAGGCAGCAGUGAGGAAUAUUGGUCAAUGGGCGGAAGCCUGAACCAGCCAAGUAGCGUGCAGGAUGACGGCCCUAUGGGUUGUAAACUGCUUUUAUACAGGAAUAAAGUUAGCCACGUGUGGUUAUUUGUAGGUACUGUAUGAAUAAGGACCGGCUAAUUCCGUGCCAGCCGCCGCAGUAA
rnacentral:rRNA from 1 species